rnacentral:rRNA from 1 species
AUUGAACGCUGGCGGCGUGCCUAACACAUGCAAGUCGAGCGGUAACAGGUGUAGCAAUACAUGCUGACGAGCGGCGGACGAGUGAGUAACGCUUGGGAAUCUGCCUAUUAGUGGGGGACAACCCGGGGAAACUCGGGCUAAUACCGCAUACGCUCUACGGAGGAAAGCCGGGGACCGCAAGGCCUGGCGCUAAUAGAUGAGCCCAAGUCGGAUUAGCUAGUUGGUAGGGUAAGGCCUACCAAGGCGACGAUCCGUAACUGGUCUGAGAGGACGACCAGUCACACCGGAACUGAGACACGGUCCGGACUCCUACGGGAGGCAGCAGUGGGGAAUAUUGGACAAUGGGCGAAAGCCUGAUCCAGCGACGCCGCGUGGGUGAAGAAGGCCUGCGGGUUGUAAGCCCUUUCAGUGGGGAAGAAAGACCUCGACCUAACACGUCGGGGUC